AUGGCAACCAACGAAAACCUCCCACCAAAUGUCAUCAGGCAAUUGGCUAAAGAAUUGAAGAAUCUUGACCAGUCACCUCCAGAAGGGAUUAGAGUGAUUGUGAAUGACGAUGACUUCACAAGUAUUUGUGCAGAUAUAGAUGGCCCUGAUGAUGCAGGCGGGACUCCGUAUGAGAAUGGGGUUUUCCGGAUGAAGCUAGUCUUGUCCCGUGACUUCCCUCAAUCCCCACCGAAAGGAUUUUUUGUGACCAAAAUAUUCCAUCCAAACAUAUCAAGCAGUGGUGAGAUCUGCGUUAACACGUUGAAAAAGGAUUGGAAUCCUACUCAUGGAUUAAGGCAUGUUCUACUGGUGGUGAGAUGCCUACUGAUUGAACCAUUCCCAGAAUCUGCGCUCAAUGAGCAGGCUGGAAAGAUGUUACUUGAGAACUAUGCAGACUAUGCUCGGCAUGCAAGGUUAUACACCAGCAUUCAUGCCCUCAAACCUAAGACUAAGCCCAAGAGUGGCACUAUCUCCGAGUCGACUUCUGUAAACGUGGAUCAGUCAAGCACAACAAAUCUAUGCGAAAUUGCACCAUCGGCUCCCAUGGCUUUAUGUGCUACUGCUGCUACCAAAGUGCCAGGCUCAAACUCGCUGGAUCAGAAUGCUCCCGCUGAGCCCACUGUUGGACCAUCUACGGCAUUGCCCAAGAAGGAAGGACCUGUUGCUACAAAAGGCCCAGCUGAUAAGAAGAAGAUGGACGCCAGGAAGAAGAGCUUGAAGAGAUUAUAA
rnacentral:rRNA from 1 species